GAGCCUGGUGAAAAAAUAUCUGCCCAAGAGACCUGCCAAGGAUGAUCCUGAGUCCAAAUUCAGCCAGCAACAGUCCUUCGUACAGAUUCUCCAGGAGGUGAAUGACUUUGCAGGCCAGCGGGAGCUGGUGGCUGAGAACCUCAGUGUCCGUGUAUGUCUUGAGCUGACCAAGUACUCACAAGAGAUGAAACAGGAGAGGAAGAUGGUGAGGAGCCCCCCGAUUCAGGUUUUACAAAGGGCUUCUGCUGGAACCCUGGCGAGCCUUAUCACUCUUCUUUCUGUAGCACUUCCAAGAAGGGCGGCGGGCCCAGCAGCAGCUGGAAAAUGGCUUUAAACAGCUGGAGAAUGCUUCCAGUACUCCCUUGUCCCCUACUUACUGGAUGACAUCCC
rnacentral:sRNA from 1 species